UACGGGGGGAGCAAGCGUUGUUCGGAUUUACUGGGCGUAAAGGGCGCGUAGGCGGCGCAACAAGUCACUUGUGAAAUCUCCGGGCUUAACCCGGAGCGGUCAAGUGAUACUGUCGUGCUAGAGUGCGAAAGGGGCUACUGGAAUUCUCGGUGUAGCGGUGAAAUGCGUAGAUAUCGAGAGGAACACCUGCGGCGAAGGCGGGUUGCUGGGCUGAUACUGACGCUGAGGCGCGAAAGCCAGGGGAGCGAACGGG
rnacentral:rRNA from 1 species